CAUUUUCUUGAUUGUUGUCUUUCUUUAAAGAUUAAUUUUUAAAUCUAUUCUUAAAACAAUCACCUCUAAAUGAAUUAAAAUCUCUUUUUCUUUUUAAAUUCAAUACAAUCCUUUGAACAUUUUGCUCCAAUUUUAAUUUUCCAAUCCUUGAUUCUCAUUAAUUAAGUUGUUUCAUUUAUCCCUCGUUUUAAUCCUCUCAAUUUAAAUGAUUAACUAAUUAAACAUGUUAAUCAUCUUUAAUUUAUUAAGUGUAUCGCUUGUGAUUAAAUCAAAGAACAAUUAAUCGAUGAUUAAAUAUUCAAGAUUUAAAUUCUAUUGGCCAAUGUUACUAAAAAGCUUUUCAAUUGAAUUGAAUUUUUCAUCUCUUAUUCAACAUCCGUGGCCUCUUAUGGUUCCAAUAAACAAGUCACCAAAUAUUAUAUUUAUUCAACUGAAUUAACUUUAACGCCUAAGGGCAAAUCCCGAUGCGGGUAAGUAGCAUUUUGGGUCUUCGAUUCUUGAUCAUCAUCAUCAUUAUCAUCAUCAUCCCUAAAAGGAUCCGGCUUGGAUUAUCAUCAAUCAUCAUCAUCAUCAAAUGAUGACCAGUCAACAACAUUGAAUAUAUUUCUAUGUGUAUUCAUUUAGUUAUCAUGAACACAUUGAACUAAAUUGUUGAGAUUGGAUUACCUUAAAUUGUUACCUUAAUUUACUUGGUUAACUAAUUGACACCGGACACAACAAUUUAACUUGAAAUCUUGAUGAUGAUCAUCUUUAAACUGUUAAGGAUAUUUGAUUAACUCUAGUUAUCCUAAUCAUCAAUCUCCUAUUAAUCAACAUAAACAAAUGAAUUAAUUAAUCAAUUGAAGCUCCCAAAAACCACACUGAUUAAUUAAUUUUUUUUUGUCUCAAUGUCUCAAACUUAUUUAAUAUUAGUUGUUAACAAUAAUCAAGAACAUGAUUAACAUGAUUAUGAUUAUGAUUAAGAUGAGUAUUGAAUGUUCAACAAUCACGAUUAAACAUUGUAUUAGUUGUAAAGUAAAGUUUGAUUGAUUACCUUAAGUUAAAUUAACUUUAAUUAGUAUUAUUUUUAGUGCUUGUGAAACAAAUAAAAAAG